rnacentral:rRNA from 1 species
UACGUAGGGUGCAAGCGUUGUCCGGAAUUAUUGGGCGUAAAGAGCUCGUAGGUGGCGGGUCACGUCGGGUGUGAAAGCCCGGGGCUUAACCCCGGGUCUGCAUUCGAUACGGGCUUGCUAGGGUCCGGCAGGGGAGACUGGAAUUCCUGGUGUAGCGGUGAAAUGACGCAGAUAUCAGGAGGAACACCGGUGGCGAAGGCGGGUCUCUGGGCCGGUACCGACGCUGAGGAGCGAAAGCGUGGGGAGCGAACAGG